GAGCGGACCACCGAUAACUAGGCCAUCGGCGCAGGAGGGGUCGCAAGGGGGGCCGUCGGGGAGCUCUCCUUUUUACCAAUCGCCAGCAACGCAUGGCUUUCAAACUCCGUCGCCGUUCAUGAUGCAAACACCUCCACAUACAGUAUUCUUUGAAGGUGGAUCAUCAUCCCAAGUCUGACAAGCAGAUGCCGAACCGGAAGAACAACAAUCACCACCCG
rnacentral:lncRNA from 1 species